AGUGAACGCUGGCGGUAGGCCUAACACAUGCAAGUCGAACGGCAGCACAGUAAGAGCUUGCUCUUACGGGUGGCGAGUGGCGGACGGGUGAGGAAUACAUCGGAAUCUACUUUUUCGUGGGGGAUAACGUAGGGAAACUUACGCUAAUACCGCAUACGACCUACGGGGGAAAGCAGGGGAUCUUCGGACCUUGCGCGAUUGAAUGAGCCGAUGUCGGAUUAGCUAGUUGGCGGGGUAAAGGCCCACCAAGGCGACGAUCCGUAGCUGGUCUGAGAGGAUGAUCGGCCACACUGGAGCUGGGACACGGUCCAGACUCCUACGGGAGGCAGCAGUGGGGAAUAUUGGACAAUGGGCGCAAGCCUGAUCCAGCCAGACCGCGUGGGUGGAGAAGGCCUUCGGGUUGUAAAGCCCUUUUGUUGGGAGAGAAAAGCAGCAGGUUAAUACCCCGCUGUUCUGACGGUACCCAAAGAAUAAGCACCGGCUAACUUCGUG
rnacentral:rRNA from 1 species